rnacentral:rRNA from 1 species
UCCGUAGGUGAACCUGCGGAAGGAUCAUUAAUGAAUUUUAGGACGUUCUUUUUAGAAGUCCGACCCUUUCAUUUUCUUACACUGUGCACACACUUCUUUUUUACACACACUUUUAACACCUUAGUAUAAGAAUGUAAUAGUCUCUUAAUUGAGCAUAAAUAAAAACAAAACUUUCAGCAACGGAUCUCUUGGCUCUCGCAUCGAUGAAGAACGCAGCGAAUUGCGAUAAGUAAUGUGAAUUGCAGAAUUCAGUGAAUCAUCGAAUCUUUGAACGCACCUUGCACUCUUUGGUAUUCCGAAGAGUAUGUCUGUUUGAGUGUCAUGAAACUCUCAACCCCCCUAUUUUGUAAUGAGAUGGGUGUGGGCUUGGAUUAUGGUUGUCUGUCGGCGUAAUUGCCGGCUCAACUGAAAUACACGAGCAACCCUAUUGAAAUAAACGGUUUGACUUGGCGUAAUAAUUAUUUCGCUAAGGACGCUUUCUUCAAAUAUAAGAGGUGCUUCUAAUUCGCUUCUAAUAGCAUUUAAGCUUUAGACCUCAAAUCAGUCAGGACUACCCGCUGAACUUAAGCAUAUCAAUAAGCGGAGGAAAAG